GGCAAUUUUGCGAUGAUGAUACAUUUUUCCCAGCUCAUUAUGAGACCUUAUUUUUAAGGUCUGGGAAUAUAUUCCGUUUCCAACACAUACAUCUGAGCUUUGCC
rfam:Solanum tuberosum cultivar DM 1-3 516 R44 scf00060_34, whole genome shotgun sequence.